UCUCUCUCAAAUUACUUCCUCCCAUUCGCGAAGAACCCUAAGUAUCUGAACCAAGAUUCUCCAAAAAUCUCUCAAAUCCUAUCAUCCUGAAAUCCAUUUCUAUAAAAUCUCACAUGAAGUCUCUGUAUUCUGAAAAUCCAUUCAAUUCAUUCGGGUAAUUUCCCAUGAUAUGGUGACUGGAAAAAAGGCCCUGUUGAUGAAACUACUUUGACCGUUGAAGGAUUUGAAUCCUGAUGGAACUACUUUGCUUGUUGAUGAAAUGAAUAACACUAAAUUAAAAUUUGGUAGUAGGUGUGUUUUAGGUACUGAAUUUCAGAAAAAGCCUCCUAUUUAAACUCUCGAAUGAGAUGAAGGGAUUAAAGAUUGUUAAUUUUGCAGUGUUGCUGAGAAGAGUAAAAAAUUUGGCAGCAAUUCAUCUGUCUGUCACUGCCAAUAACAUAUUCAUGUUUGCAAUCAAUGGAAGGGGGGUAUCCGUUGCCUUUGUCCACCAUUUAUGGUAAUAGGAACUGGGACUGGUUGUGCUUGGAAACAGCUACAAUUUGCUUCAUUAAAAAUUCUGUUAAGUAGAGCCAUAUACCACACCAACAAUUUGAAGCAGAUCAAGGAUGGAACAAUUGUGAAGCACCUCUAUACUAAAGUUUUCAACCGAUUUCGUAUUUUGUAAUGUCCAAAGUUUUGUUUUUGGCAUGUAAAUUGAAGUCAGAUUGGGAUGGUACAAUGUUGUUGUUGAGAUAGAACAUAUUCACAUUUAUGAAAUCAGUGGGUUGCUGCUUCCAUAACUA